GGGCUCAUGACGGUACUGUAAGAAUAAGCACCGGCUAACUACGUGCCAGCAGCCGCGGUAAUACGUAGGGUGCAAGCGUUAAUCGGAAUUACUGGGCGUAAAGCGUGCGCAGGCGGUUAUAUAAGACAGAUGUGAAAUCCCCGGGCUCAACCUGGGAACUGCAUUUGAGACUGUAUAGCUAGAGUACGGUAGAGGGGGAUGGAAUUCCGCGUGUAGCAGUGAAAUGCGUAGAUAUGCGGAGGAACACCGAUGGCGAAGGCAAUCCCCUGGACCUGUACUGACGCUCAUGCACGAAAGCGUGGGGAGCAAACAGGAUUAGAUACCCUGGUAGUCCACGCCCUAAACGAUGUCAACUGGUUGUUGGGUCUUAACUGACUCAGUAACGAAGCUAACGCGUGAAGUUGACCGCCUGGGGAGUACGGCCGCAAGGUUGAAACUCAAAUGAAUUGACGGG
rnacentral:rRNA from 1 species